rnacentral:rRNA from 1 species
UACGUAGGGGGCAAGCGUUGUCCGGAAUCAUUGGGCGUAAAGCGCGUGUAGGCGGCUCGAUAAGUCUGCUGUGAAAGUUCAGGGCUCAACCCUGAAAUGCCGGUGGAAACUGUCGAGCUAGAGUCCGGAAGAGGCGAGUGGAACUCCUGGUGUAGCGGUGAAAUGCGCAGAUAUCAGGAGGAACACCAAUGGCGAAGGCAGCUCGCUGGGACGGUACUGACGCUGAGACGCGAAAGCGUGGGGAGCAAACAGG